rnacentral:rRNA from 1 species
GCAUUAUACCGCGAAACUGCGAAUGGCUCAUUAAAUCAGUUAUCGUUUAUUUGAUAGUACCUUACUACUUGGAUAACCGUGGUAAUUCUAGAGCUAAUACAUGCUAAAAAUCCCAACUUCGGAAGGGAUGUAUUUAUUAGAUUAAAAACCAAUGCCCUUCGGGGCUCUCUGGUGAUUCAUGAUAACUUCUCGAAUCGCAUGGCCUUGCGCCGGCGAUGGUUCAUUCAAAUUUCUGCCCUAUCAACUUUCGACUGCUGGGUCUUGGCCAGCAAUGGUGACAACGGGUAACGGAGGGUUAGGGCUCGACCCCGGAGAAGGAGCCUGAGAGACGGCUACUACAUCCAAGGAAGGCAGCAGGCGCGCAAAUUACCCAAUCCCGACACGGGGAGGUAGUGACAAUAAAUACUGAUACAGGGCUCUUUUGGGUCUUGUAAUUGGAAUGAGUACAAUUUAAAUCCCUUAACGAGGAACAAUUGGAGGGCAAGUCUGGUGCCAGCAGCCGCGGUAAUUCCAGCUCCAAUAGCGUAUAUUAAAGUUGUUGCAGUUAAAAAGCUCGUAGUUGAACCUUGGGCCUGGCCGGCCGGUCCGCCUCACCGCGUGCACUGGUACGGUCGGGCCUUUCCCUCUGGGGAACCCCAUGCCCUUCACUGGGCGUGUGGGGAAACCAGGACUUUUACUUUGAAAAAAUUAGAGUGUUCAAAGCAGGCCUAUGCUCGAAUACAUUAGCAUGGAAUAAUAGAAUAGGACGUGCGGUUCUAUUUUGUUGGUUUCUAGGACCGCCGUAAUGAUUAAUAGGGACAGUCGGGGGCAUCAGUAUUCAAUUGUCAGAGGUGAAAUUCUUGGAUUUAUUGAAGACUAACUACUGCGAAAGCAUUUGCCAAGGAUGUUUUCAUUAAUCAGGAACGAAAGUUAGGGGAUCGAAGACGAUUAUCUGGUCGUCUAGAGUGCCACGUCUGGCGCUAGUCCGCCCCCUCCCCAGGGAGGGCGCCGGGCGACACCGUCAAAUUGCGGGGACAUCCUAAAGGCCUGUGCUACACCUGCCCGCUAGAAAUAGCGGGCAGUCGUAAAAGUGCCAGGCAUGAUGGGGGUGCUAUACACCCCUGAAAUGGACAAUCCGCAGCCAAGUCCUACGAGCCUUUGGUGCUUACGGAUGCAGUUCACAGACUAGACGGCGGUGGGAGGCCAGUGCCUCUUAAGAUAUAGUCGAGCCGGGGUCGAAAGGCCGUUGGGAUAGUUGCAGAUACCGUCGUAGUCUUAACCAUAAACUAUGCCGACUAGGGAUCGGACGAUGUUACUUUUUGACUCGUUCGGCACCUUACACGAAAGUACAAGUUUCUGGGU